UGUGAGGCACGGAGGAAGAGGACAGCCCGGAGACUUUCCACACACACACACAUGCUUCACUGGAACUGCGACUCUCGGCAGACGGAUUUAUUUCUCUGUGUGGAUGCAGCUACUUCCUUAACGAUCAUGAGGAAUGUGCCCGCAGACCACCUGCUUGUCUUUCGCUUCAAGUCGCGGUGUCGGCUACCACCACCUAUUUCUACACACACCCCUGUGACCUGCUCUACUGUAGAGGAUCAAUAGGGGGUCCAUGACCCUCUUGGGGACACUCCCAUAGGGCUUAAAAUCUGGGACUCUCCACCAGUUGCUCUUAGAACUGAAGAAACUUCCUGGAUGAGAGGUGAAACGUCUUCAAGGAAACUUAAAGAAUUCCAGACACUUUUCUUUCCAAGCUCCGUAGACUACGAUGACCUGGAUGACUGAGAAUCUUCACAGUCAUUAAUAUAGGCCACACCAGGUGGGUAAUGAAUCCUACCAUUUCACACCGUAUCACGGUUGUCAUCGUGUAUUUUCACCAUUCUGUCUCCAGAAACGAGUGUUUGUUGAAGCACUCUGAGAGUUGCAGAUCAGGGGAGCACUGCGGCCAACAGCAGAUGUGGAAAGCAUUAAAGUGAGCUGAGAAUUCUGAUCCAGUUCCUGCGUUGGACAGUUCUCAGGCCAGUCGGUGUGUUAGGUUGGGUGG
ensembl:lncRNA